rnacentral:rRNA from 1 species
AGUUUGAUCCUGGCUCAGGACGAACGCUGGCGGCGUGCUUAACACAUGCAAGUCGAACGAUGAACCGCUUUCGGGCGGGGAUUAGUGGCGAACGGGUGAGUAACACGUGGGCAAUCUGCCCUGCACUCUGGGACAAGCCCUGGAAACGGGGUCUAAUACCGGAUAUGACUGUCCAUCGCAUGGUGGAUGGUGUAAAGCUCCGGCGGUGCAGGAUGAGCCCGCGGCCUAUCAGCUUGUUGGUGAGGUAGUGGCUCACCAAGGCGACGACGGGUAGCCGGCCUGAGAGGGCGACCGGCCACACUGGGACUGAGACACGGCCCAGACUCCUACGGGAGGCAGCAGUGGGGAAUAUUGCACAAUGGGCGAAAGCCUGAUGCAGCGACGCCGCGUGAGGGAUGACGGCCUUCGGGUUGUAAACCUCUUUCAGCAGGGAAGAAGCGAAAGUGA